rnacentral:rRNA from 1 species
GUCGUGGGGCAGCAUGACUGUAGCAAUACAGUUGAUGGCGACCGGCAAUUUGGUGCGGAAUUGAGAUUACACAACCUUCCCUCAAGUGGGGAAUAGCCCAGGGAAAUUGAGAGGAUUAAUACCCCGUAACAUGGUGAGAGGGCAUCUUCUUACUAUUAUAGCAGCAAUGCGCUUAAUGAUGGGUGUGCGUCUGAUUAGGUAGUUGGCGGGGUAUUUGCCCACCAAGCCUUUUAUCAGUAACUGGUGUGAGAGCUUUACCAGUCAUUGAGAUGGCACUGAGAUUGAGAUGGCCCGACUCCUUUUGGAGGCAGCAAUAAGGAAUAUUGGUCAAUGGUUUCAAGUCUGAACCAGCCAUGCCGCGUGAAGGAUGAAGGUCCUCUGGAUUGUAGAUUGAGACCUCUACCUGGGAAGAAAUCCAUGGCUCAUACUGUGGUUGUUUGUACCAGAUGAAUAAGCACCGGCUAACUCCGUGCCAGCAGCCGCGGUAAUUUUGAGGGUGCAAGCGUUAUCCGGAUACACUGGGCUCAAAGGGUGCGUAGGCGGGCAGGUAAGUCAGUGGUGAAAUCUCCGGGCUUAACUCGGAAACUGCCGUUGAUACUAUCUGUCUUGAAUACCGUGGAGGUGAGCGGAAUAUGUCAUGUAGCGGUGAAAUGCUUAGAUAUGACAUAGAACACCGAUUGCGAAGGCAGCUCGCUAUUGAGAUGUAAUUGUUUCUGAGGCUUUAAAGCGUGGGGAUCAAACAGGAUUAGAUACCCUGGUAGUCCUUUCCCUAAU